GACGAACGCUGGCGGCGUGCUUAACACAUGCAAGUCGAACGGAAAGGCCCUGCUUUUGUGGGGUGCUCGAGUGGCGAACGGGUGAGUAACACGUGAGUAACCUGCCCUUGACUUUGGGAUAACUUCAGGAAACUGGGGCUAAUACCGGAUAGGAGCUCCUGCUGCAUGGUGGGGGUUGGAAAGUUUCGGCGGUUGGGGAUGGACUCGCGGCUUAUCAGCUUGUGGGUGGGGUAGUGGCUUACCAAGGCUUUGACGGGUAGCCGGCCUGAGAGGGUGACCGGCCACAUUGGGACUGAGGUACGGCCCAGACUCCUACGGGAGGCAGCAGUGGGGAAUAUUGCACAAUGGGCGGAAGCCUGAUGCAGCAACGCCGCGUGCGGGAUGACGGCCUUCGGGUUGUAAACCGCUUUCGCCUGUGACGAAGCGUGAGUGACGGUAAUGGGUAAAGAAGCACCGGCUAACUACGUG
rnacentral:rRNA from 1 species